rnacentral:lncRNA from 10 species
GAAGCUUUCCUUUCUUGAUGCAGUCUCUAAGAAGGGUAAGGUUCAAAUUGCAGGUAAGGUUGCAGUCAGCCUUAGGACUUUCUCAUUGAAGUGUCCCUUGCCUCAGAUAGCCUUGCUUCUAGGCUCUCAAAAUCCUAUUCCCGGCUGGGCGCGGUGGCUCACAUCUGUAAUCCCAGCACUUUGGGAGGCCAAGGGUCACCUGAGGUCAGGAGUUCAAGACCAGCCUGGCCAACAUGGUGAAAACCCGUCUCUACUAAAAAAUACAAAAAUUAGCCAGGUGUGAUGGUGGGCGCCUAUAAUCCCAGCUACUUAGGAGGCUGAGGCCAGAGAAUCGCUUGAACCUGGGAGGCGGAGGUUGCGAUGAGCCGAGAUCAUGCCAUUGCACUCCAGUCUGGGCAACAAGAGUGAACUCUGUCUAAAAAAAAAAAAAUCCUAUCCCCAGAGUGUGCUCAGCAGGACAUGAUAAUUUCCCAGGUCUUGUGUGUCUACACAGAGGCCAAAGGGAGCAGUUUGGCCCAGCAGACCAGAAUCCCAAAUCUUCAGGCCUCAGGAAAAAUCCUGGACAAGAAUUUAGCCACAAGUCAAGAGAGAGGCUACCCUAGGAGCCCCAAAGGAGGAGAGCAUUGAGUAGGGGAUGUAGGGUGCGGGCAUCUCCCUGCUCAGGCCAGGGGAUUAGCAGAUACCCUUGUAAGCAAGACCCCCUGGUUUCUGCACAUUUUCUCCUUUCGAACGGGGUACAAAAGUACCUCAGGUGAAAGGAUGAGGAGGUUUUUUUCAGUGUCUUUAUUGUGGGGAAAAAAGCCAAUUAGUGUCAGCUUAAGCCUGGCCCAGCUAAAGGCAGUGCUGUCUGGAUAGUACUGGGGACACUGGCACUCAGGAGGGCAUGACUGUCAUGGGCCUGAUCCUGGAGAAGAUGUGGGAUUCAUGCUCAAAGUCAGCCCCAGGAGGAUGUCCAGGGCUAGGCAGAGCCCGCAGAUGGGCAUUUCUUCAACUAUAGGGCUCCUUCUACCCAGACCGCAGGAAAGGGACAAGUGCCCCCUCAUGCAGCCACCACUCAGGUCCUGAGGGCCAGAGUUGUCUCUGUAGACACAGGCAGGUCAGAGGCCAGGACAGACAUCCCUAGAUAACUGAGAUUUGAGGAUUUGCAGCUGUGUUCAGUGCUUCUCAGGGAGCCUGUGUCCAUAGCCAGGCCUCACCAGCGUGGGCCAAGGAGGCCAGGUACCUCUGGCUACCCUCUCCAAUGUCCAGGCUCUGUCUUUUACUGCUAGCCACCAUGAAUAUUAUAUAGUACUAUAAGUGUUUAACUGUACAUAGCACAUAUGAAAGCACUUUUCACAGCUAUUGUUCAUAGAACAUGCUUAUAAGCCAGAACCAUAAAACCUUAAUUAUAAUACAUCAACUCCAUACUUCCAAAGAACAUACCUUCCCACAGGAAUAUCGACCAGUACUUUUCAUCGUACAUUCAGUCGUUCAUCGUACAUAGCACAUUACAGUCAAAUAAAUCCUCGUCACCACAGAUAUCCCCCCCCAGAUAGUGGUUUCUCGCUCACCAUCCUCCGUGAAAUCAAUAUCCUGCACAAGAGUGCUACUCUCCUCACUCCGGGCCCAAACACUUGGGGGUAGCUCUUCUAGUCAGCCAGAAAGUCCUUCAGCCUCGCCAGGAGCAGUGGCUCAUGUUUGUAAUCCCAGCACUUUGGGAGGCCAAGGCAGGCGGAUCACUUGAGGUCAAGAGUUUGAGACCAGCCUGGGCAACAUGGUGAAACCCUGUCUCUACCAAAAAUACAAAAAUUAGCCGGGUGUGGUGGUGCAUGCCGGUAAUCCCAGCUACUCGGAGGCUGAGGCAGGAGAGUCGCUUGAACCUAGGAGACAGAGGCUGCAGUGAACCAAGAUCGCAUCACUGCACUCCAGCCUGGGCGACAGAGCAAGACUCCGUGUCA